UUAAAAUUCUUGUUUUUUGGUAUUUAAAGUUCGAGAUUAAUAGGGAAUUAGGUGAGAAUCCUAAACUGUACCCGCAGCUGUAAGCUCUGCACGUUUUUACACUAAGUCACUGACUAAUCCUCGGGAAGACGUAAAAAUAAGGAGCGAGUCAGAAGACCUGCCUUUAACCGUUAUGUGCA
rnacentral:ncRNA from 2 species